UACGUAGGUGGCAAGCGUUGUUCGGAAUUACUGGGCGUAAAGGGCGAGUAGGCGGCCUUCUAAGUCAGACGUGAAAUCCCCCGGCUUAACCUGGGAACUGCGUCUGAUACUGGGAGGCUCGAGUAUGGGAGAGGGAUGUAGAAUUCCAGGUGUAGCGGUGAAAUGCGUAGAUAUCUGGAGGAAUACCGGUGGCGAAGGCGGCAUCCUGGACCAUUACUGACGCUGAAUCGCGAAAGCUAGGGGAGCAAACGGG
rnacentral:rRNA from 1 species